UGUUCUUCUUAUGUGAACUGUAACUCAGUAAAGUCUGAAAUUGUUGCAUUUUAUAUUUUUGUUCAGUGCAGAUUGUAACUUAGGUGUGAUUUUAGGUCCAUUUAGGCUAUUGGCAACUGAAAACGAUAGUCAAUAUAGCAUUACAAAGAGCAUUAACAUUUUGGCUAACUUUAGAGUUGUGAGUAAUGAGUCAUGAAGCUAUUGGAAAGGCCGUCUUUUAGUAUCGAUCUCUUAAAUUAAAGUCUCGAAAUUUCUUUCCCUCAUCAAAGCUUUCAGGUGAAUGGCUAAAGAACAAGGAAUCAGGAAAUGUGGUAUCAGAAUUUCAAAGUUGUGCAAAUGAGUACAGCCACUGUUUUGCAAUGUUAGUUUUAGAGGUAAGCUUAAUAAAGUAACAGAUUAUACUGCUUAUGCUAACCAUAAAAACAAUGUUAGUUUUAGAGGUAAGCUUAAUAAAGUAACAGAUUAUACUGCUUAUGCUAACCAUAAAAACAAUGUUAGUUUUAGAGGUAAGCUUAAUAAAGUAACAGAUUAUACUGCUUAUGCUAACCAUAAAAACAACAAAGCUUGCCGCUUGCACUAGAAUCAACAUACUACAAACAUUGAUGAUACAAAUUUGAUGAUGCUAAAAAUAUAAGUUGUGUUUAUUUGUAAUGCUGUGUUACAAGGCUGAUCCACACAACAAACGUAUUUUUGUCCGCGAGCUGAGAAUAAUGACGUCAGCUGCACCCUGAGGAGGAUGACCUGGUCAUUCUAUGGCUGUCCCAGAAUACAGAUGCUUAAUGGCACGAGCAGGGCUUUCUGGAUCCCAAGGAACAUUUUGGCGAUGUGCAGAGAUGUUUUCAACAGAGGUGUGGGUGAAAGCACGUUUGUGUGUAAGAGGCCAGGAAGGGCCAGGAAGGGAUAGGAAUAUAUAUAUGGAAAGAGGGAACGGGGUUGUAUUGAUAUGGAAAGUUGAAUGUAAAUAUCCUCUACACAAAAGACUGUCAUGUUUCUUUAACUUCUUCCAUCUGUUACCUCUAUUCAUCCAUUCUCAUCAUAAAUAAGGAUGUAUAUAUUGUAUUGGUAUGCUGUUCUGUAUGUAACAUAUUGUAUUGGUUUACACCGUUAGUGUGUGGAUCAUCUUAAAUGCACUUUGUAGUCCCACCCCUCCUCAGCCCACAGGUAUCAUACUCCCCACCCUGAACCUGAUGAUAAGGACCCUGGUGAACAAGCAGGCGGUGCACUGUGAUGUGGGUUACAACCCAAGCCAGGUGAGGGCUGUGAGAAAACAGUAUGUCCAUCAUCAGAAACCAACAGCGCACCCCCAAAAUCUGCCUGAUACACGGACCCCAGGAACAGGAAAGAGCAAAACCAUUGUGGGCCUGCUGCAAAAUCUUUUCUCUGAGCAAUGAUGUCAGAGUGCAGCUACAUGAGAGCAUCGAGAAGAUCUCCAGGAUGUUGCCCAAACUGCCAGACUGAGAAAAUGGUAACCACAGGCUUUCACCAGCAGGGUCCGCUAGAGGGCUAGCCACCUACCUACACUUGCCAAAACUAUUCGAAGCUCUAGUCAUACGCUGUGGUCUCGCUCAUAAUCAAUGUAGACCUCGGCUCAGACAUGCAUUAGGAACUGCAAAUCCCAUUAAUAUCCUAAGACUUGUUCAGAGUUGUUGUUCAUGGCUUCUCUCUUUCAUUUCCUCCCUCUCUUAUUGGCUGGUGUGUAGCACCAUGAGCUGGCAGAGAAAGUACAGACUGCUCUGAGAGAGACAGACUCAGCUACCAGCUACGAGCUAAAACAGGCAAGGCACUGUACCACAUUAUGUGCAUACAGAUGCAACUUUGUCAUGCGUAUAAGGGCUUAUCAGAUACGAGGAGAUAUAUUAUUAUUCAGAAUUAAAGGGGAUUGAAAAAACUGCUUUGCGGAGAGAAAUCUCAUUAGAAAUGCCUCUCUCUCAGUUCUCGCUUUCUCUUCUAUUUCCUGUCUCUCUUUCUUGACCUCUUUCCUCUUUUCCUUUCCUGUCUUUCUCCCAUAGUCUCGCAUUAGGAAGCAGGAGACCCAGCCCUGUGUCUUACAGGACACCCAGCCCUGUGUCUUACAGGACACCCAUGUGGUCUGCUGCACCCAGAGCUGCAGCUCCGCCCUGGAGUCGGCUUUCCAGUGCCUGGGACAUGAGCCCUUCAGUUGCAUCAUCGUUGACGUGGUCAGAAUUUGUAGCUCCUUUAGUUUGGCUGCAUUUCAAUAGUGUAAAGCAGCAAUAGUGUUCUAUAUACCAUUGGGGUCAUGGAGAUGCACGAUGUGCAAGCUUUAGUUCCUGUCCAGUGCUGUAACACAACUGAUUCAACGAAUUGAUUGAUUGGAAUAAAAGCUUUAGUUCCUGUCCAGUGCUGUAACACAACUGAUUCAACAAAUUGAUUGAUUGGAAUAAAAGCUUUAGUUCCUGUCCAGUGCUGUAACACAACUGAUUCAACAAAUUGAUUGAUUGGAAUAAAAGCUUUAGUUCCUGUCCAGUGCUGUAACACAACUGAUUCAACGAAUUGAUGAUUGGAAUAAAAGCUUGCAAGCCCUGUGGAUUUGUAUUUUAUUUUUUUACCUUUAAGUCAGUUAACAAAAAAAUCUUAUUUUCCAUGACAGCCUAUCCUGGUCAAACUUGGAUGACACUGGGCCAAUUGUGCACUGCCCUCUGGGACUCCCAAUCACGGCUGGAUGUGA